AAGUAUAUAUAUAUUUACUAUAUAGAAACUGCGAACGGCUCAUUAAAACAGUUAUAAUCUACUUGACAUUUUUUUUAUAAGGAUAACUACGGAAAAGCUGUAGCUAAUACUUGAACGACUACUUAUAUAAACUUCGGUUUGUAGAAGUAUGUAUUUGUUAGGCCUUAUAAGAAAAAAAGAUUUUAACUUAAGGAGUUAUAACAAAGAAGCAACACGUAAUAAAACUUUGUUUUAUUUAGUGUGUAUCAAUCGAGUAUCUGACCUAUCAGCUUUUGAUGUUAGGGUAUUGGCCUAACAUGGCUAUGACGGGUAACGGGGAAUUAGAGUUCGAUUCCGGAGAGGGAGCCUGAGAAAUAGCUACCACAUCUAAGGAAGGCAGCAGGCGCGUAAAUUACCCAAUUCUAAAGAAGAGAGGUAGUGACAAGAAAUAACAGUACAAGAUCAAAUUUUGGUUUUGUAAUUGGAAUGAUAGGAAUUUAAAAACUUCCUAAAGUAACAAUUGGAGGGCAAGUCUGGUGCCAGCAGCCGCGGUAAUUCCAGCUCCAAUAGCGUAUAUUAAAAUUGUUGCAGUUAAAACGCUCGUAGUUGAAUUUCAAAAGAUCUAUUUUUAAGGUUAAUGCUCGUCUAAAGAAAAGUAUAUAAUCUUGUGCUUCGGCCAUGAUUAUUGCUUUGAUUUGGACGAAUUGUGUUCCUUAAAAUACAUACGAUCUUUUUUAAAGAUUCUUUAUUGCUCUUGUAGUGAUAAGAAUCUUUGUUACUUUGAGUAAAUUAGAGUGUUCAAAGCAAACAGUUUAAAACAGCUAAAACUGUGUUUGAAUACUAUAGCAUGGAAUAACAAAAUUGAACAAGCUAAAAUAUUUUGUUCUUUUUUUAUUUUGGCUUAGUUACGAUUAAUAGGAGUAGUUUGGGGACAUUCGUAUUCAGAUGUCAGAGGUGAAAUUCUUAGAUUUUCUGGAGACGAACAACUGCGAAAGCAUUUGUCUAAAAUACUUCCAUUAAUCAAGAACGAAAGUUAAGGGAGUGAAGACGAUCAGAUACCGUCGUAAUCUUAACCAUAAACUAUGCCGACUAGGUGUUGGAUGAUAGUAUAAAAAAUAAAAGGCAUUUCAAUUCACUUUGAUUUGCCUUUUAGCUUGCUUCCUUCAGUACCUUAUGAGAAAUCAAAGUCUUUGGGUUCUGGGGCGAGUAUUCGCGCAAGCGAGAAAGUUAAAAGAAUUGACGGAAGGGCACCACCAGGCGUGGAGCUUGCGGCUUAAUUUGACUCAACACGGGAAAACUCACUAGUUUAAGACAAGAGUAGGAUUGACAGAUUAAUAGCUCUUUCUUGAUUUCUUGGAUGGUGAUGCAUGGCCGUUUUUAGUUCGUGAAUAUGAUUUGUCUGGUUAAUUCCGAUAACGAACGAGAUCUUAACCUGCUAAUUAGCGGCAAAUACGACAUAUUUCUACACAAAAUUGAAUAUAGGCAGAAAUUGACAUAAGUAAAAUAUAUUGGGCAUUAUUAUAAUGUCCUUUCCCUGUUUCGCUUAUUGUCUUUUUUUACUCUAUUUCACUUUUUGUAUAGAAAUGUAUUUGCUUUAUUGUAAAGCUUCUUAGAGGGACAUUGUGUGUCUAACACAAGGAAGUUUAAGGCAACAACAGGUCUGUGAUGUCCUUAGAUGAACUAGGCUGCACGCGUGCUACACUGAUAUAUAUAACGAGUUACUAAAAAUUAUGCUGAUGCAUAUGCAUUUAUGUAUAUGUAUUAAGCAUAUUUUUCCUCCACCGAAAGGUGUAGGUAAUCUUUAUCAAUAUAUAUCGUGAUGGGGAUAGAUUAUUGCAAUUAUUAAUCUUGAACGAGGAAUGCCUAGUAAGCAUGAUUCAUCAGAUUGUGCUGACUACGUCCCUGCCCUUUGUACACACCGCCCGUCGCUCCUACCGAUUGAAAGAUAUGAUGAAUUGUUUGGACAAGAAAAAUUGAAAUUAUAUUUCUUUUUUUCUUUUGGAAAAACCGUAAAUCCUAUCUUUUAAAGGAAG
rnacentral:rRNA from 1 species